UACGUAGGGUGCGAGCGUUGUCCGGAAUUAUUGGGCGUAAAGGGCUCGUAGGCGGUUUGUCGCGUCGGGAGUGAAAUCCACUGGCUUAACUGGUGGCUUGCUUUCGAUACGGGCAGACUGGAGGUAUGCAGGGGAGAACGGAAUUCCUGGUGUAGCGGUGAAAUGCGCAGAUAUCAGGAGGAACACCGGUGGCGAAGGCGGUUCUCUGGGCAUGUCCUGACGCUGAGGAGCGAAAGUGUGGGGGAGCGAACAGG
rnacentral:rRNA from 1 species